rnacentral:lncRNA from 1 species
GUUAUUGAGAAUGUAGACGUGCCACAAAAAGACGACAGAGACGAUCAAAACGUUUCAGUGGACACAUCUCAACAAGGACAAGGAAAUGGGUGUGAAGGAGGUGAUUUGAGCUGGAGACAACUUUUCAUGCAAAUCUCCCAGAAGAUGGCCUCUUUAGGACAGGUGAAGGAGGAACGCCAGAGCAUCGGCUCAGAGGGAGGAGAGAGUGUGCAGGAUGUAAGAGGAGUGAGGCUGGAGAAGCAGCUACAUCAUUGACCACAGGUUGUUUUGAAAAGGUUUCUGUCCCCUCAGGUUUCACGCAGGAUGCUGAUGUCUCCCAGGUCCACUUGUGAAGCUCUCUGGAGGACGCAGGAGUCUGUUGCCAUGUUGAGACAAAUAGUACGUUUAAUUGUUACUGAGGUUAAGAGGUGAAACUAGCAACUUUGGCGCUGAUGCUUAAAGCUAGCCACCUAAUGCUAAUUAGCGCUUUUUUUAGGUUCAAACUGUCACUCUUCUCGUCUCGUCUUAACCAUGUGGUAAAUUUCUUCUGGUGAUAGUAGAGAUGUGCUGAUUUAAAAGGAAUCUUCGAAGGCACCGACUUGGUUAUGAGAGAUGUUUAUUGGAGAGAAAGGUCAGGUAUCAAUCGGACACCGCAGAUUGUCCGAGGGAGGUUUCCUGGUCCUGAUGGUGAAGAUCUCCGAAGUGCUUGGUUCGGUAGCCCCUUAUAUAUGGUCAAGUAAACACAUUCCUUUCUUGUGACCCCUGCAAACCCCUGACCAAAUCAGGAGUAGAGGAACAACAUAGGACACAGAUGGAACAUGUUGAUAUGGUGCCAGGAUGGCUGAAGAAGAUAAGGUCUCUAAAGCUAAGAUCCUCAGCAGAAAUCGGGAUCUGCUAGGGAACAAUACACAUUCUUCAGACACUACAACCCCUUUAUCCCUUUUGGGGUCCCAAUUUGGUAUUUUUAAGCCUAAUGUGCACUCUGCUCACAGGGGCGUCAGUAAUGAAAGUGACUGACGUGUUUCUGCUGUCUCAGAGGGGGGCCGACAGUUUGCAUCCUGAUCUGAACGAGGAGAUGUUCAGAGCCGUAAGAAGCGUCCUCCUCUGUCUGACCGAGUUAACGGACUCCGGUUUGAAGCCCUCCGAUGCCAGGAACGAUGGCAGUCAGCUGAGGCUGCUCCAGCAGGAGUGUUUGUCGACAGAGGUGCUGAAGCUGUCUGAGCUGAUGGCCGCAGUAAGGUCAGAGAUCCUGCCCCGUAUAUCGAGGGAACAUCCGGAGGCCGAGCGCUGCCUCAGGUCUCUUCAGGACUGUCUGGACAUGGUCCCGCUGAGCUGCACCCCCCUCUGCUGCCAGCUCAGCCAGCAGCUGGACCUUCCGUGCCAACAUCAGGAGCUCAACAACCUGCUGAACAUUUGUGAUGUGUUCGAUCUAAAACCUUGUUGGACAUUCCCCCAUCUGAUGGACAGCCCCAUUAUGGAGCUCAUUCUUGGCAGACGCGUCCAGGAGGGUCCAGGUGAGAAAGCCGGGCUGCUGCAAGCUUCCCGCUCGUUGCUUCGGGGGAUAAGUGGCCUCCUGGAGCAGGGGGAGGGCUGCCUGACCGAAGGACUGAGCCAGGUCCACAGCCGCGCUCGGGCCGAGGCAGCUCUCCGCAGGCAGCAGAAGCUCCUGCAUGUCCUGGACUCUCAGGUGGCAUUUGUGCAGAAUCUGUUCCAACGAGAGCCCAAAGCGCUCGUGAGUCUGGGGGCCGAGUGGACUCAGCUGGAGGUCCGAGCCAGAUGUUUGCAGCAAAGGAUUCUGGACCAGGAGGUGGUUUCCCAACAGAGGAUCCAGGAUUGGGCCCGUUGGGAGGGGCUGUACGGCCGACUGAGCGCUGGGGGGACGGAGGGGGAUGACCAGAAGCCGACAGAACUCAGACUGGACGCCUGCCAGCUCACCCUGAAGGAGCCGGGCGACAGCGAGGCUGCUGCAGGGCUGCUGCUGGACCAGCUCAGUGGGCUGCAGGGAGAACCGGUCGGACCUGUAGGGGGCGCCCUGGAGCCACGGUGGUGGAAGGAGAAGGAGACGCGGCGCUGCAGAGACAAACGGGACCGCACCAGCAGAGCUCCCCCGGUCUUCUCUUCGGUCGCCGACUGGCUGGUCGGUGCCAACAAACUCCUACAGGCCUGGUCCGGCCGGAUCCACGAGUCUGACGGGGACCAGGAGUGUGUUCACAAGCAUCUGAUCAGAGUGCUGGACUUCUCCGUGGAGGCCGACGCCGUGGCCGUGAAGAUGGCGUCUCUGAGGGCAGCCGAUUGGCCGAGGGCCCAGGUGUCGGAGCUGGAGGUCGACCGGAGCCGUGUGACCUCUGCUCUGUCCAAGCUACAGGAGCAGCUGCAGCGGCGCCUACUGGACCAGUGGCCGCCCGUCAAGCUCUUGCCGGGCCUGCAGGGUUGGUUCCAGGGGCUGGAGACCCGUCUGAUCCACGAGAAAGAAACCGUCUCCAAGGCUGAAAACGCCGCUCAGCUGACCGAUGUCCUGCAGAACUACCAGGUAUUCUCAGUAAUCCAGGAUCUGUCCCAGAACCUCGGUCCCAGAACCUCGGUCCCAGAACCUGCAGCAGUGUUGAACAUCAGAGACUCUGUGGGUUUGUUGUUGCUCUGUUUUGUUGAGAUCUUUAUAUAAAAGCUGUUU